rnacentral:RNase_P_RNA from 1 species
GAGGAAAGUCCGGGCUUCACAGGGCAGGAUGCCGGCUAACAGCCGGUGGAGGCGACUCCCAGGAAAGUGCAACAGAAAUAUACCGCCGGGGGAACCCGGUAAGGGUGGAAAGGCAGUGUAAGAGACUACCGUGCGGCUGGUAACAGGCGCAGCCAUGUAAACCCCAUCCGAAGCAAGACCGAGCAGGAGCGAUGACGCGGCCCGCCAGCUCCGGGUUGGUUGCUCGAGGCGGCUGGUAACAGCCGUCCUAGAUAGAUGAUCACACCAGACAUAACCCGGCUUA